CCUACGGGAGGCAGCAGUGGGGAAUUUUCCGCAAUGGGCGAAAGCCUGACGGAGCAAUGCCGCGUGAAUGAAGAAGGUCUUCGGAUCGUAAAGUUCUGUCAUUAGGGAAGAACAGCAAGUAUGUAAAUAAUGUACUUGCCUGACGGUACCUAAGGAGGAAGCCACGGCUAACUACGUGCCAGCAGCCGCGGUAAUACGUAGGUGGCGAGCGUUGUCCGGAAUUACUGGGCGUAAAGGGCGUGUAGGCGGGAAUUUAAGUCAGAUGUGAAAACCCCGGGCUUAACUUGGGGACUGCAUUUGAUACUGGAUUUCUUGAGGACAGGAGAGGAAAGCGGAAUUCCUAGUGUAGCGGUGAAAUGCGUAGAUAUUAGGAGGAACACCAGUGGCGAAGGCGGCUUUCUGGACUGUAACUGACGCUGAGGCGCGAAAGCGUGGGGAGCGAACGGGAUUAGAUACCCCGGUAGUCCACGCCGUAAACGAUGGGUACUAGGUGUAGGAGGUAUCGACCCCUUCUGUGCCGGAGUUAACGCAAUAAGUACCCCGCCUGGGGAGUACGGCCGCAAGGUUGAAACUCAAAGGAAUUGACGG
rnacentral:rRNA from 1 species